rnacentral:rRNA from 1 species
UACGUAGGGUGCGAGCGUUAAUCGGAAUUACUGGGCGUAAAGCGUGCGCAGGCGGUUCGUUGUGUCGGCGGUGAAAGCCCCGGGCUCAACCUGGGAAUGGCCGUUGAAACUGGCGAACUGGAGUGUGGCAGAGGGGGGUGGAAUUCCACGUGUAGCAGUGAAAUGCGUAGAGAUGUGGAGGAAUACCGAUGGCGAAGGCAGCCCCCUGGGCCAAUACUGACGCUCAUGCACGAAAGCGUGGGGAGCAAACAGG